rnacentral:ribozyme from 1 species
UCUCGGCUGGGCGAGCAUAAAUAGGAUUCAGGCCCAGUGCGUCCGGGAAGGAGGGCAUUUGCCGAUGGCCCAAGCUCCCGGGGUAUCA